rnacentral:rRNA from 1 species
GACGAACGCUGGCGGCGUGCCUAAUACAUGCAAGUCGAACGCAGUGGGGACGGGUGAGUAACACGUGGGUAACCUCCCAUCAGAGGGGAUAACAAUUGGAAACAGGUGCUAAACAGAUACUGACGGAUGGACCCGCGGUUGAUUAGCUAGUUGGUAAGGGAACGGCUCACCAGGGCCACGAUGCAUAGCCGACCUGAGCGCGUGAGCGGCCACACUGGGACUGAGACACGGCCCAGACUCCCACGGGAGGCAGCAGUGGGGAAUCUUCGGAAAUGGACGAAAGUCUGACCGAGCAACGCCGCGUGAAUGAAGAAGGUUUUCGGAUCGUAAACCUCUGUUGUUAGAGAGGCGGUAUCUAACCAGAAAGCCACGGCUAACUACGUGCCAGCAGCCGCGGUAAUUC